rnacentral:rRNA from 1 species
AAUAUUGGACAAUGGGCGCAAGCCAGAUCCAGCCAUGCCGUGUGAGGGAUGAAGGCCUUAGGGUUGUAAAGCUCUUUCACCGAUGAAGAUAAUGACGGGAGGCGGAGAAGAAGCCCCGGCCUACUUCGUGCCAGCAGCCGAGGUAAUACGAUGGGGGCUAGCGUUGUUCGGAUUUAGUGGGCGUAAAGCGCACGUAGGCGGAUUGGUCAGUUAGAGGUGAAAUCCCGGAGCUCAACUUCGGAACUGCCUUUAAUACUGCCAGUCUCGAGUCCGGAAAAGGUAAGUGGAACUCCUAGUGUAGAGGUGGAAUUCGUAGAUAUUAGGAAGAACACCAGUGGCGAAGGCGGCUUACUGGUCCGGAACUGACGCUGAGGUGCGAAAGCGUGGGGAGCAAACAG